AACGGAGACCUGGCGCUUCAGUUGCCGGUUAAAAUUACGUAGUGGUGUGUCGAACAUUGGUUUUCGCACAGCUCUUGCUGUCUUUCUACUUCGUUUGCUGUUCGUUUUUCGGGUGACCGUGAGGAUGUCUUGUAGAGUCCUUGUUGUUGUUCUGCUCCGUCCAUCGUUCUGUGACCUUUGUUGUUUUCUGCUGACAACACAACCCAAUAGUUGACACACUCCAUCUGGAGCGCUUUUGGUAAAUAUUUUUCCUUCAGAAUUCAAAGGUUGCGUUGGUCUGGAUAGCACAUGCAAGUGUCCGAAGGUAUCCUGUACUUAACGAAGUUGUACUUGCUAUCUUGCCACGGGGCAACUAAGCAGCAAGCACUGGGAGCGCAGACUUGCCAAGAUAACCCUUGGAUUGCUAGUACUGGUUCAAGUUUCCUAGUUGAACAUUGCAACGGGCAUUCUGAGAUGUGUACACAUUGCAACGGGCAAUCUGAGCUGUGUACGUACAGGUGUGUACGAUUCUGAGGUAUAGAGGACUGGGACUAUCAGGGAUUGUAAUAAAAAAUAAACAACGGGAA